GUGGUGGAUCAUGAGAUCAGGAGUUCGAGACCAGCCUGGCCAAGAUGGUGAAACCCCAUCUCUACUAAAAAAUGAAAAUACAAAAAUUAACAGGGCACGGUGGCGGAUGCCUGUAAUCCCAGCUAGGUUGAGGCAAGAGAAUUGCUUGAACCCGGGAGGCAGAGAUUGCAGUGAGCUGAGAUUGUGCCACCGCACUCUAGCCUGAGUGACAGAGGGACACUCCGUCUAAAAAAAAAAAAAAAAAAAAAGAAAGAUGUUAAGAAUAGGGAAAAUUGGAUAUGGAGUACGUGGGAACUUUCUGUACUAUCUUCCCCAUUUUUCUGUAAACCUGAAAGUUUUCCUAAAAUAAGUUUAUUUAAGAAAACAGUCUACUAUGAUUGUGGUUGUUUAUCUCUCCUGACGUUCAUGGGCAAGAAUUUCCCUAGAAUAUGCACUAGGUUGAAAUUCGGGGUCAUAAGGUACGUGCACGUUCAAUUUUUUACUAAGAACUACAUUUCAAAAGUACCAUUUUACUCUUUUGUGGACAAUGUGUAAGAAUUCCUUUUACUUUACAUCCUGGGCAAGAAUUGUAAUGUCUGACUUUUUAAUUUCUGCCAGUCUGGUGGGUGUGAAAUGUUAUCUCACUGUGGUUUAAUUUUGGAUUUUCCUGACUACUAAUAAGGUUGAACAUCUCUUUAUAUGUUUAUUGGCCAUUUGUGUUUCCUGUUCUAAGAAAUACUUAUUCAUGUCAUUUACCUUUUUUUUUUUCUAGUGGGUAAUUUAUCUUUUUCUUACUGAUUAAGAGGAUUUUGUUAGACAUUCUUGAAACUAAUCCUUAGUCAUUUAUAUAUGAAACAAAUAUUUGUCCUAGCUUGCGGUUUGUCUUUUCACUCUCCUUAUGGUAAAUUUGAUGAAUAUUGAAUGUAUCAGUCUUUUCCUUGGUGCUCUGCUCUUUGGGGGUUUUAUUUAUGAAAUCCUUCCAUUCCAUCUGGAAAGCUCCUAUUUGCCUCUCCAGAUCUGCUCUCCACCCCCUUUUAGCCUCUGUGUCCUGGGAGGCUGACCAGUAUGAACUACAUUAAUAGCUUAUUUGCCCACAGGUUCCCAUUGGGUUUGACCAUGGGAGCAUUGACAGGUGAUCAAAAGGUAGGAGGUGCGUGAAGCAAGGUAUGUAUGCCCUUAGCUCUCUCCUUGCAAGGUUGCUGCAAGCUGGUUGUGUCCCUUGACUUAAGGUCCCAGCUCUUGCCAAUUGGCCGUCUGCAUGUAGUGCUCUGUAUCGCUGUAGUGCUCUGUAUCUCUGUGUGCUCUGUAUCUCUGAGUUUCAGUAAAUAGUCCCUCUCCUGUUGCAGUUCCUGUUACCAGUCGCCAAGGGCUUUGUUUUCCCUACACUCUAUUCUUUUAUAAUGGUCCCUUUAUUAAAUAAACUGCCUUAAGUUACUCAAUAUGAGUGUCCCUACUGUUUCCUGCUGGAUAAGCCCACUCCCAGGUCAUAUUUUCUGUUUUUAAAUUAGUUUUUCACCGGUCUAUCUGUCUACCCCUAGGAUUUCUCAACCCUGCCACUACUGACAUUUUGGAUGGGAGAAUUCUGCUGUGGAGGGCUGUUGUGUGUACUGUAGGAUGUUUAGCAGCAUCCGUGACCUCUACCCAGUAGAUGCCAGUAGCAUCCCCUCCUUCCCCUCCAAUUCUGACAACCCCAAAUUGCCAAAUGUUCCCUUGGGGUUGGGGAAUCACCCUCUGUUGGGAACUACUGUUAUAACCCCUUGUCAAAACCACACUUAAUUAUUAAGGCUUGAUAUCUAGCAAGACAAGUUCUCCC
rnacentral:lncRNA from 10 species